rnacentral:rRNA from 2 species
GGUCAAGCUACAAAGGGCGCAUGGUGAAUGCCUUGGCAUCAGGAGCCGAUGAAGGACGCGAUAAGCUGCGAUAAGCUUCGGGUAGACGCACAUAGUCAGAGAUCCGAAGAUUUCCGAAUGAGGAAACUCACAUGGGAAACCCCAUGUAUCGUAAAGUGAAUACAUAGCUUUAUGAAGGUAAACCCAGGGAACUGAAACAUCUAAGUACCUGGAGGAAGAGAAAGAAAAAUCGAUUUUCUUAGUAGCGGCGAGCGAAAGGGAAAGAGCCCAAACCAAAGAUUUAUCUUUGGGGUUGCGGACAGAACAUUAACGAGAAAUUAUGGUUAACCGAACACAACUGGAAAGUUGGACCGUAGGGGGUAAUAGUCCUGUAGGUGAAAAUUAUAAUUAUCAAGUUCUGAUCCAGAGUACCACGAGACACGUGAAACCUUGUGGGAAGCAGGGAGGACCACCUCCCAAGGCUAAAUACUACCUGAUGACCGAUAGUGAAGCAGUACCGUGAGGGAAAGGUGAAAAGAACCCCGGGAGGGGAGUGAAAUAGAACCUGAAACCAUGUGCCUACAACCGAUCAAAGCACCUUAUGUGUGUGAUGAUGUGCUUUUUGUAGAACGAGCCAACGAGUUACGGUAUGUAGCAAGGUUAAGUACUUAAGGUACGGAGCCGAAGGGAAACCGAGUCUUAAUAGGGCGACUAGUUGCAUGCUGUAGACCCGAAACCGGGUGACCUAUCCAUGGCCAGGUUGAAGCGAGGGUAAAACCUCGUGGAGGACCGAACCACGUUGCUGUUGAAAAAGCAUGGGAUGAGCUGUGGAUAGCGGAGAAAUUCCAAUCGAACUCGGAUAUAGCUGGUUCUCCUCGAAAUAGCUUUAGGGCUAGCGUCGGAAAAUGUGAGUACUGGGGGUAGAGCACUGAAUGGGCUAGGGGGCAUAGCGCUUACCGAACCUUAUCAAACUCCGAAUACCAGAUACUAUCAGUCCGGCAGUCAGACUGCGAAAGAUAAGUUCCGUAGUCAAAAGGGAAACAGCCCAGAUCGUCAGCUAAGGUCCCAAAGUGUAAGUUAAGUGGAAAAGGAUGUGGGAUUUCUAAGACAACUAGGAUGUUGGCUUAGAAGCAGCCACUCAUUAAAAGAGUGCGUAAUAGCUCACUAGUCAAGAGAUCCUGCGCCGAAAAUGUCCGGGGCUCAAACUUACCACCGAAGCUACGGGUUCACACAUUAGUGUGAGCGGUAGAGGAGCGUCGUAAUCGGGCUGAAGUCGUACCGUAAGGAGCGGUGGACUGAUUACGAGUGAGAAUGUUGGCAUUAGUAGCGAGAUGUGGGUGAGAAUCCCACAGGCCGAAUACCUAAGGUUUCCUCAGGAAGGUUCGUCCGCUGAGGGUUAGUCGGGACCUAAGCUGAGGCCGAAAGGCGUAAGCGAUGGACAAUCGGUUGAUAUUCCGAUACCACUAUUAUCGUUAUUAUCGAUGGUGUGACGGAGAAGGAUAGGAUGUGCUAGCUAUUGGAUGCUAGUCUAAGCGUUUAGGGAGUUAGAAUAGGCAAAUCCGUUCUAACAAUUCUGAGGCGUGAUGGGGAAGGUUCCAAGGAACCGAAGUAUCUGAUUCCAUGCUUCCAAGAAAAGCAUCUAGAAAGAGAAAUAGUGCCCGUACCGCAAACCGACACAGGUAGGUGAGGAGAGAAUCCUAAGGCCGGCGGAAGAAUUGCAGUUAAGGAACUAGGCAAAUUGACCCCGUAACUUCGGGAGAAGGGGUGCCUGCGAGAGCAGGCCGCAGAGAAUAGGCACAAGCAACUGUUUAACAAAAACACAGGUCUCUGCUAAAGCGAAAGCUGAUGUAUAGGGGCUGACGCCUGCCCGGUGCUGGAAGGUUAAGGGGAACACUUAGUGUAAGCGAAGGUGUGAACUUAAGCCCCAGUAAACGGCGGCCGUAACUAUAACGGUCCUAAGGUAGCGAAAUUCCUUGUCAGGUAAGUUCUGACCCGCACGAAUGGCGUAAUGACUUGUGCACUGUCUCAACUGCAAAUCCGGCGAAGUUGUAGUGCGAGUGAAGAUGCUCGCUACCCGCGAUUGGACGGAAAGACCCCGUAGAGCUUUACUGUAGCUUAGCAUUGAAUUUCGGUAUUGUCUGUACAGGAUAGGUGGGAGACUGGGAAAUCAGAGCGUCAGCUUUGAUGGAGUCAUCCUUGGGAUACCACCCUGAUAGUACUGGAAUUCUAACUGGAUGCCAUGAAUCUGGUGACAGGACAUUGUUAGGUGGGCAGUUUGACUGGGGCGGUCGCCUCCUAAAAAGUAACGGAGGCGCCCAAAGGUUCCCUCAGAACGGUCGGAAAUCGUUCGUAGAGUGCAAAGGCAUAAGGGAGCCUGACUGCGAGACCUACAAGUCGAGCAGGGACGAAAGUCGGGCUUAGUGAUCCGGUGGUACCUCGUGGGAGGGCCAUCGCUCAACGGAUAAAAGCUACCUCGGGGAUAACAGGCUGAUCUCCCCCAAGAGUUCACAUCGACGGGGAGGUUUGGCACCUCGAUGUCGGCUCGUCGCAUCCUGGGGCUGAAGUAGGUCCCAAGGGUUGGGCUGUUCGCCCAUUAAAGCGGCACGCGAGCUGGGUUCAGAACGUCGUGAGACAGUUCGGUCCCUAUCCGUCGCGGGCGCAGGAAAUUUGAGAAGAGCUGUCCUUAGUACGAGAGGACCGGGAUGGACCGACCUAUGGUGUACCAGUUGUUUCGCCAGAAGCAUAGCUGGGUAGCUAAGUCGGGACGGGAUAAACGCUGAAAGCAUCUAAGCGUGAAGCCUCCUUCAAGAUGAGAUUUCCCAUAGCGUAAGCUAGUAAGACCCCUUGAAGACUACAAGGUUGAUAGGUCAGAGGUGUAAGUGUGGCAACAUAUUUAGCUGACUGAUACUAAUAGGUCGAGGGCUUGACCAAUAAAUAAU